UUUUUUUUGUUGUUUUUUAUAUAUUUGUUUGUAAUCAUAAAAAUAAUAAUAAAAUAAUAAUAUUAUUACUAUAAUAAUAAUUCCGCUUGGAUUAUUAUUAUUAUUAUUAUUAUUAUUAUUAUUAUUAUUAUUAUUAUUAUUAUUAUUAUUAUUAUUAUUAUUAUGGUGGUGAGAGGGAGGUUGAAAAAAAUGUAAUAAAAAACUAGACGGUUGGAGACGAUGAAGGCCGGGGAGGGGAGGGAAAACCCCCCUCUCCAUUGAAGAUGCUCUAAUAGGGAGCAAAAACUGGUAAAUUUCCUCAACCAAAAACAUAAGUUUUUAGUGAAAUAUAUUAUUUAAUAUUAGGGUCUUUAGCAACAAACCUCUCAAAGCGCUAAGAAAUAGAACUAAAUAUAAUCGUAAAUUCAUCUUUUGCAAUACCUACUAGCUUUCUUUUGUACAAAAAAUAUCCCUCAUUUACCUACUGCACCAGUAAUUAUGUGGACUGCAUGUAUCAAUUUUGGACUGCAUUUAGCACUUUUUUUAUUCUUUAGUAAAAAUAUUUUUUAAUUUUUUUUAAACAAAAAAUUGAUUUUUUUUUUCAGAUAGAUUUAUUACGCCGUCGCCGAAUAUGACUAUAGUUGAAUAUGACUAUAUCAACUGUAGUCGUAUUCUUUCUUUAUAUUACCAUUUUUUACAUUUUCAACUUAAAAUUUUUUAUUGUAUAGUGUAGUACAGACAUGUUUACCAAAUUAUAAAUAAAAAAAAAUUAAAAAAAAAAAAAAAAAAAAAAAAGAUUGCAUGUUAUUUACGAAAUAUUCCAAUCAACAUUCACACAAAAAAUCACAAUUUGAAUCUUGUUACUAUAAGUCAACUUGAAACGAGAAGAUAGAACAUAUUUGAAUAUGACUAUAGUCAUAUUCAAUAAUAGUCAUAUUCGAAUAUGACUGUAGUUCACAUCUGGAGAGGAAAAAAGAAGAAGAGAGAAAUCGAAGCAAACAAAGAUAGAGACAGAAAGAUAACGAAAGAGAGGCAGAGGGGUUGGGGACAGCGGCGGUGAACAAAAGAGAGAGCGAGGGAGGCGGCGACAAUGGUGGUGGUUACAGAUCUGGAAAAAAAAAAAAAAGAGAAAUCGAUAGAGAGAUAACGAACAAGAGAGAAAAAAGAUUUAUGUGAAGACAAAGGAGGCGGCGGCGAUGGCAACGAGCGGCGACGGUGGUGGUGGUGUAUUGAUCUGAAGAAAAAAAAAAGAAAUCUAGAGAGAGAUAACGAACAAGAGAGCAAGAAAUUUAUGUGGAGACGAAGGAGGAGGCACCAACGGUGGCAACGAGCGGCGACGGUGGUGGUGGUGUAUAGAUCUGGAAAAAAAUUUGAAAUCGAGAUAGAGAUAACGAACAAGAGAGAAAGAGAUUUAUGUGGAGACGAAGGAGGCGGCGUCAACGGCGAUGGUAGCGGCGGCGGCAACGGUAGUGGAGGAAGGUCGGAUUUUUCGGAGAGAGUUGAAGGAUUUAGGUGGAGAGGUGGAGAAGAGAGGAGAUGAAAUUAAAGUGAUAGAGGUGGGGACAAAUAAUUAAGAUUUAGAGUUAUAGUAAUUGAGAGUAUUUUUGUCUUUUCACACUAGUUCAGAAUGAAACUUGGGUGUAGG
rnacentral:lncRNA from 1 species